rnacentral:lncRNA from 1 species
GCUCCUAACCCGCAAGACUUAAGGAGGCUCCAGCGCCCUGGAGGGCUGCUUCUCCUACCCCAGGCGUGUGCCUUCCUGGACUCAACCUGGUCGUAGGUGUGCAGUCCUCUCUCCUCUUUUGAACGCCUGACUUUGCUCACACGGGGUGGGUCUCGCGACAACCUUCUCCAUGAGACACUCUGCAGGUAACCCAGGUCUGUCUCCGUAGGGGGCUGUGGGCUGCUGCAGCAGAAAGACCAACGUCCAGACUCUUAAGCAUGGACGUUGGUGCUCAUUCACUGAGCAGGUUGGCAGGUGGCUGCCUCCAUUGGGAGGCCCCUCCCGGGGGUGCGUUCUCUGUGUCCUUCGCCCCUUCUGUCCCUGGAUCCAGUUGCAGGUGGUGAGGAGCGUGGGGAAGGUACAGCCACUUCCCAAAUCCUGGACCAGGUGCUGGCCGGCCUUGCUGGCCCACGUCUCUGGGGAGCUCGUCCCAGACUUGGCCAUCUCCCCAGAUGUCUGGCCAUUUCCAAGCUGGUUGUGCGUCAGAAUCACCACGGUUCUCUGGAGACACGGACGCCUGGCCCCAGGCCCCACAGUGCUGCUUCACAGGCCCAAGGUAGGACCUGGGCGCCUGCAGGUAAAAAGUCCCGCAGGUCCAGCGGCCCCAGCCCCUACACUUGGCCCCGGUUCUGCCCCAGGUCCAAGGAGAGGCAUCCACGGCCCAUGUGGAGGCAGCGCCGUGGGUUCACUCCCCGCCUGGCUCCCGCAGGAUCUACGAGGGCCCCAGGGCAGAGUGGAGAGGACAUGCCCGCCUUGGGAGACAGGAGCUGGGAGAUGUGAUGUCCCCGUUGGGAGGCACAAGCUGCUAAUUGCUUUGUUUCGCGUUACCAACAUCUGCGGGGAGAGAGCAGAUGCCGCCACUUGCCCAGCCUGCUGUCCCCAGAGCAGCACCAGGAGCAUACUUCUCUCUCCUUCUCGAAGAUUCCAGGCGGAACCUCUCAGCUCGGCGCCACAAACUGAACGGCUCCACCAAGGAAGAGGAAGUGCCUUGUCUGCUGAGAGGAGCUCCAUUCAGCCUCUGAGCCUCAGUUUCCCUGUUUGUGAAACCAAGAACUAACCCGCCUGCAACUGCAUCAUAGGGUUUUCUCAAGAGGAUCAAAUUUAAUCAGGUUCAACAAGCUGUGUAUUAAUACAACAUUUAAACUGCUUCCCAAAUGACUGGUGCUGAGGGAAUACACGCGUGCAUAAAAUGAGAUGUCGUUCUCAGAAGAAAUGGAAAAUGCAGAGGAAGGCACACACACAUCAGCAAGCAGGAUGCAGGGCUGAAUUAGUGAUCAUGGUUGUCCCCAUGGCAACCACGGCCCCAGGACCCCUGUCUCCAUAGCAGACUGUGCCUUGCUGGCCUGUGCCCACCCUGCCCCCAAAUGAUGAGGGUCCAUCACAUGCCCACAAAGGGGAGAACCCAGCCCGUCCUGUUGGGAGUGGAGACGGUGACCCCUGGGCACAGGGGCUAUGUCUUUUGAACCUCCUGGUGCUUCAAGCCCAGCAGAGUACCUGGCACAAGCUCAACCUCUGAGCUUUUUUUAACCAUGAAACAAACUAGAUGCACAGUGACCAGUAUAAUAGUUUGAGAACAACAGCCCGCCCCCGCACCCCACUUGCUUCCCAUCUUCUUCAUCACCUAAGGAAGCGUCACUACUGUUUGGCUUUUCUUCCUUUGAACCAGGUCUAAAUGGAUGUCAACAGGCAUCUUCUGGGACAUGUGUUUCUGCUCUCCACCGUAUUGAGACUCAGUUAGUUAAUGUCCCCUCUGGGGUAGGACUGAUGGUGGUGGGUGCAGUCAACGUUGCUGAAUGCAGGCAGGGGCUGUGAAGGCAAAUACCCCGUGUGCCUAGCCGAGGAGGAGAGAGUUGGGAGCCCUCAGGAGCCUGAAGGCCAGGCUUGGCAACAGCUGCACUGCCUGGACCCUGGAGGGUGUGCCUGUCUCAGCUGGGUGCCUGUGUGGGUGGAGCCGGGGGGGUGUGGAAGCCGGGGCCCUGCCCAGAUCGGGUGCGGAAUGCUGGGGUAUCAGCAGGCAGGGGCAGGGAUGGGCCUCCUGGGGCCGAGGCCGGAAUCAG